ACAGGAAGGUGGUUGAGCAGCUCGUGAGAAGAGCCGAGAAAGCUGGGUUCAAAGCCAUUGCUCUCACUGUAGACACCCCAAGGCUAGGUCGCAGAGAGUCUGAUAUCAAGAACAGGUAAAGCCACAUCAAUUGAAAUGUGAUAAGAGUUGAUUAGACUCGAAUAUGCAAACAUAUAGCUAAACAAUUAUAGAGUAACGAUGUGUGUUCUUCUACUACAGAUUCACUUUGCCUCCAAACCUGACAUUGAAGAACUUUGAAGGUCUUGACCUUGGAAAGAUGGACGAGGCAAGCAUCGAUCAGAUAGUAUCCAUUACUUAAGUCUGAAUAGUGUCAAUGAUCCACUUAAAAACUAGCUUUAAAGCAUACGGUUUGUUUCCUGAUUAUGUUCCUAAACUUGUUAUGUUUCCACCUGCAGGCCAAUGACUCUGGCUUGGCUUCGUAUGUUGCUGGUCAAAUUGACCGUACCUUGAGCUGGAAGGUAAGAGAAUACAACAAAUUUUCAGAUACCACAGCAAAACCAAAAACUUGAUUCAGAUUGCUCUAACUUUCAUCUACAAAAACAGGAUAUCCAGUGGCUCCAAACAAUCACCAACAUGCCAAUUCUUGUCAAGGGUGUUCUUACAGGAGAGGAUGGUGAGUUUCCAUUUGCCAAACAAAUAAUUUCAACACUCUAGUGUCAUAGAAAUACCUGACAAGGUCAACUAUUAUUGUCCCCAUGCAGCAAGGAUAGCGAUUCAAGCUGGAGCAGCAGGGAUCAUUGUGUCAAAUCAUGGAGCUCGCCAGCUUGAUUAUGUCCCAGCAACAAUCUCAGCCCUUGAAGAG
rnacentral:lncRNA from 1 species